rnacentral:tRNA from 1 species
GGAAGAAUAGCCCAGUUGUUAGGGAACUAGCCUGGGACUUUGAAAACCCAGGUUCAAAUCCCUGUUCUGCCA